CGGUGGAUGAUGUNGUUUAAUUCGAUGCAACGCGAAAAACUUACCUACCCUUGACAUGUCAAGAAUUCUGCAGAGAUGUGGAAGUGCUCGAAAGAGAACUUGAACACAGGUGCUGCAUGGCCGUNGUCAGCUCGUGUCGUGAGAUGUUGGGUUAAGUCCCNCAACGAGCGCAACCCUUGUCAUUAGUUGCUACGCAAGAGCACUCUAAUGAGACUGCCGGUGACAAACCGGAGGAGGGUGGGGANGACGUCAGGUCCUCAUGGCCCUUAUGGGUAGGGCUACACACGUCAUACAAUGGCCGGUACAGAGGGCUGCCAACCCGCGAGGGGGAGCCAAUCCCAGAAAACCGGUCGUAGUCCGGAUCGUAGUCUGCAACUNGACUGCGUGAAGUCGGAAUCGCUAGUAAUCGCGGAUCAGCUUNCCGCGGUGAAUACGUUCCCGGGUCUUGUACACACCGCCCGUCACACCAUGGGAGCGGGUUCUGCCAGAAGUAGUUAGCCUAACCGCAAGGAAGGCGAUUACCACGGCAGNNNUNNGNGACUGGGGUGAAGUCGUAACAAGGUAACC
rnacentral:rRNA from 1 species